CACAAAGCCACAACUUGACUGAGAUCACAAAACUUUCUUGCAGGAUUUAGGCCAAUGUAUCUGAGGUUUUCUUCCAUGCAUUUUCUUUUCUUCUGCUUGCUGCGACUGGGUGGUCUCCGGGUUGCUGAUUGCUGGUCAUUUCUAAUAAAUAAUGCGCACUGGAAUAACGUGUUGUCACUUUUUCUACAAAGCCAACAGUCAGUCACCAAACUAAUGAUCACACAGGAUCGGAAUGUUAUGGAGAUCACCAUCUGUGCCAGACGUCAUGGAGAUCACCCCAGCUACGAGAAUCUAUGACUCGCCUGUGAUGAAACAGAUCCUGCUCACUGUCUGAUUGGAGUACCGAACCCACCUUGCUGGGAAAGUUCACCUACCACAGGUCACAAGAAUGAACGAGGAUGAUUAUUGACUAAUAAUAAUAAAGAUAAUAUCUUGUUGUUCAUUCUCUCCUUUGCUUACUCCAGCCUUAAUCCUAGUAGAAUGGCCUUGUAAACUAACGGUAUGUUUAGCGGGUUGACAAAGUUUUAAAACUGUAUGCUCUCAUACUUGUAAGUUGAUUUGGAUAAAAGUGUCUGCUAAAUUAAUAAGUGUACAUGUAAAUGAUGCCUUGUUGGCUUAACAA